rnacentral:rRNA from 1 species
AUACGUAGGUGACAAGCGUUAUCCGGAUUUACUGGGUGUAAAGGGCGUGUAGGCGGUUUAGCAAGUCAGAAGUGAAAUUCCCGGGCUUAACUUGGGCGCUGCUUCUGAAACUGCUUUACUUGAGUGCUGGAGAGGAUAGUGGAAUUUCUAGUGUAGCGGUAAAAUGCGCAGAUAUUAGGAGGAACACCGGUGGCGAAGGCGGCUAUCUGGACAGUAACUGACGCUGAGGCGCGAAAGCACGGGGAGCAAACAGGAUUAGAUACCCUGGUAGUCCGUGCCGUAAACGAUGAAUACUAGGUGUAGGGGGUAUCGACUCCCUCUGUGCCGCAGUUAACACAUUAAGUAUUCCACCUGGGGAGUACGGCCGCAAGGUUGAAACUCAAAUGAAUUGACGGGG